GAUGAACGCUGGCGGCGUGCCUAAUACAUGCAAGUCGAGCGAACGGACGAGAAGCUUGCUUCUCUGAUGUUAGCGGCGGACGGGUGAGUAACACGUGGAUAACCUACCUAUAAGACUGGGAUAACUUCGGGAAACCGGAGCUAAUACCGGAUGAUAUUUUGAACCGCAUGGUUCAAAAGUGAAAGACGGUCUUUCUGUCACUUAUAGAUGGAUCCGCGCUGCAUUAGCUAGUUGGUAAGGUAACGGCUUACCAAGGCAACGAUGCAUAGCCGACCUGAGAGAGUGAUAGGCCACACUGGAACGGAGACACGGUCAAGACUCCUAAGGGAGGCAGCAGUAGGGAAUCUGACGCAAUGGGCGAAAGCCUGACGGAGCAACGCCGCGUGAGUGAUGAAGGUCUUCGGAUCGUAAAACUCUGUUAUUAGGGAAGAACAUAUGUGUAAGUAACUGUGCACAUCUUGACGGUACCUAAUCAGAAAGCCACGGCUAACUACGUG
rnacentral:rRNA from 1 species